ACACCUGGAUACACCUGGAUACACCUGGACAGGUAAACAACACCUGAAAACCAGAGCACGUUCACCAACCACAGGAACGGCAACAGCAGGAACCCACCUGGGGACAGGUAAAAUACACCUGGACAGGUAAAAUACACCUGGAUACACCUGGG